GGGGAAUAUUGCGCAAUGGGGGAAACCCUGACGCAGCAACGCCGCGUGAGUGAAGAAGGCCUUCGGGUUGUAAAGCUCUGUCAAUAGGGAAGAAGUCUUGCUAAAUAAAAAAGAGUAAGGUGACGGUACCUAAGAAGGAAGCCCCGGCUAACUACGUGCCAGCAGCCGCGGUAAUACGUAGGGGGCAAGCGUUGUCCGGAAUUACUGGGCGUAAAGGGCGUGUAGGCGGCCUCAUAAGUUAGGUGUGAAAGACAAGGGCUCAACCCUUGGAUUGCAUCUAAAACUGUGAGACUUGAGGAUGAGAGAGGAAAGUGGAAUUCCUAGUGUAGCGGUGAAAUGCGUAGAUAUUAGGAGGAACACCAGUGGCGAAGGCGACUUUCUGGCUCAUACCUGACGCUGAGGCGCGAAAGCGUGGGGAGCAAAC
rnacentral:rRNA from 1 species